rnacentral:rRNA from 1 species
GAUGAACGCUGGCGGCGUGCCUAAUACAUGCAAGUCGAGCGAAUGGAUUAAGAGCUUGCUCUUAUGAAGUUAGCGGCGGACGGGUGAGUAACACGUGGGUAACCUGCCCAUAAGACUGGGAUAACUCCGGGAAACCGGGGCUAAUACCGGAUAACAUUUUGAACCGCAUGGUUCGAAAUUGAAAGGCGGCUUCGGCUGUCACUUAUGGAUGGACCCGGGUCGCAUUAGCUAGUUGGUGAGGUAACGGCGCACCAAGGCAACGAUGCGUAGCCGACCUGAGAGGGUGAUCGGCCACACUGGGACUGAGACACGGCCCAGACUCCUACGGGAGGCAGCAGUAGGGAAUCUUCCGCAACGGACGAAAGUCUGACGGAGCAACGCCGCGUGAGUGAUGAAGGCUUUCGGGUCGUAAAACUCUGUUGUUAGGGAAGAACAAGUGCUAGUUGAAUAAGCUGGCACCUUGACGGUACCUAACCUGAAAGCCACGGCUAACUACGUGCCAGCAGCCGCCGUAA